rnacentral:rRNA from 1 species
UGGGGAAUUUUGGACAAUGGGCGAAAGCCUGAUCCAGCAAUGCCGCGUGUGUGAAGAAGGCCUUCGGGUUGUAAAGCACUUUUGUCCGGAAAGAAAUCCUUGGCUCUAAUACAGUCGGGGGAUGACGGUACCGGAAGAAUAAGCACCGGCUAACUACGUGCCAGCAGCCGCGGUAAUACGUAGGGUGCAAGCGUUAAUCGGAAUUACUGGGCGUAAAGCGUGCGCAGGCGGUUUGCUAAGACCGAUGUGAAAUCCCCGGGCUCAACCUGGGAACUGCAUUGGUGACUGGCAGGCUAGAGUAUGGCAGAGGGGGGUAGAAUUCCACGUGUAGCAGUGAAAUGCGUAGAGAUGUGGAGGAAUACCGAUGGCGAAGGCAGCCCCCUGGGCCAAUACUGACGCUCAUGCACGAAAGCGUGGGGAGCAAACAGGAUUAGACACCCUGGUAGUCCACGCCCUAAACGAUGUCAACUAGUUGUUGGGGAUUCAUUUCCUUAGUAACGUAGCUAACGCGUGAAGUUGACCGCCUGGGGAGUACGGUCGCAAGAUUAAAACUCAAAUGAAUUGACGGGGUCAUAGCUGUUUCCU